UUAUGGUAGCACCUGAGCUGGUGGAAAGA
rnacentral:piRNA from 1 species